AGAGUUUGAUCCUGGCUCAGGACGAACGCUGGCGGCGUGCUUAACACAUGCAAGUCGAACGGAAAGGCCCUUCGGGGUACUCGAGUGGCGAACGGGUGAGUAACACGUGGGUGAUCUGCCCUGCACUUUGGGAUAAGCCUGGGAAACUGGGUCUAAUACCGAAUAGGACCACGCGCUUCAUGGUGUGUGGUGGAAAGCUUUUGCGGUGUGGGAUGGGCCCGCGGCCUAUCAGCUUGUUGGUGGGGUAAUGGUCUACCAAGGCGACGACGGGUAGCCGGCCUGAGAGGGUGACCGGCCACACUGGGACUGAGAUACGGCCCAGACUCCUACGGGAGGCAGCAGUGGGGAAUAUUGCACAAUGGGCGCAAGCCUGAUGCAGCGACGCCGCGUGAGGGAUGACGGCCUUCGGGUUGUAAACCUCUUUCAAUAGGGACGAAGCGCAAGUGACGGUACCUAUAGAAGAAGCACCGGCCAACUACGUGCCAGCAGCCGCGGUAAUACGUAGGGUGCGAGCGUUGUCCGGAAUUACUGGGCGUAAAGAGCUCGUAGGUGGUUUGUCGCGUUGUUCGUGAAAACUCACAGCUUAACUGUGGGCGUGCGGGCGAUACGGGCAGACUAGAGUACUGCAGGGGAGACUGGAAUUCCUGGUGUAGCGGUGGAAUACGCAGAUAUCAGGAGGAACACCGGUGGCGAAGGCGGGUCUCUGGGCAGUAACUGACGCUGAGGAGCGAAAGCGUGGGGAGCGAACAGGAUUAGAUACCCUGGUAGUCCAA
rnacentral:rRNA from 1 species